rnacentral:rRNA from 1 species
AGAGUUUGAUCAUGGCUCAGAACGAACGCUGGCGGCAGGCCUAAUACAUGCAAGUCGAACGGGCGUAGCAAUACGUCAGUGGCGCACGGGUGCGUAACGCGUGGGAAUCUGCCCUCUGGUACGGAAUAACUCAGGGAAACUUGAGCUAAUACCGUAUAAUGACUUCGGUCCAAAGAUUUAUCGCCUGAGGAGGAGCCCGCGUCGGAUUAGCUAGUUGGUGAGGUAAAGGCUCACCAAGGCUACGAUCCGUAGCUGGUCUGAGAGGAUGAUCAGCCACACUGGGACUGAGACACGGCCCAGACUCCUACGGGAGGCAGCAGUGGGGAAUAUUGGACAAUGGGCGCAAGCCUGAUCCAGCAAUGCCGCGUGAGUGAUGAAGGCCUUAGGGUUGUAAAGCUCUUUUACCCGGGAUGAUAAUGACAGUACCGGGAGAAUAAGCCCCGGCUAACUCCGUGCCAGCCGCCGCGGUAAUAC